rnacentral:rRNA from 1 species
CAGCCGCCACGGUAAUACGUAGGGUGCGAGCGUUAAUCGGAAUUACUGGGCGUAAAGCGUGCGCAGGCGGUUUUGUAAGACAGGCGUGAAAUCCCCGGGCUCAACCUGGGAAUGGCGCUUGUGACUGCAAAGCUAGAGUGCGGCAGAGGGGGAAGGAGUUCCGCGUGUAGCAGUGAAAUGCGUAGAUAUGCGGAGGAACACCGAUGGCGAAGGCAAUCCCCUGGGCCUGCACUGACGCUCAUGCACGAAAGCGUGGGGAGCAAACAGGAUUAGAUACCCGUGUAGUCCCUGUCUCUUAUAC